rnacentral:rRNA from 1 species
GUGAGUAACACGUGGGUGAUCUGCCUUGCACUCUGGGAUAAGCUUGGGAAACUGGGUCUAAUACCGGAUAGGAACCGUCUUUAGUGUGGUGGUUGGAAAGUUUUUCGGUGCAAGAUGAGCUCGCGGACUAUCAGCUUGUUGGUGGGGUAAUGGCCUACCAAGGCGUCGACGGGUAGCCGGCCUGAGAGGGUGUACGGCCACAUUGGGACUGAGAUACGGCCCAG